GAGUUUGAUCAUGGCUCAGAACGUACGCUGGCGGCACGCCUAACACAUGCAAGUCGAACGAAGUAGCAAUACUUAGUGGCAGACGGGUGAGUAACAUGUAGGUAUCUACCCUUUGGCCUGGAAUAACACGAGGAAACUUGUGCUAAUACCGGAUAAGUCUUUACGGAGAAAGCUUUAUGCACCAUUGGAUGAGCCUGCAUUUGAUUAGUUUGUUGGUGGGGUAAUGGCCUACCAAGACUGUGAUCAAUAGCUGAUUUGAGAGGAUGAUCAGCCACAUUGGGACUGAGACACGGCCCAAACUCCUACGGGAGGCAGCAGUGGGGAAUCUUGCACAAUGGAGGAAACUCUGAUGCAGCGAUGCCGCGUGAGUGAAGAAGGCCUUUGGGUUGUAAAGCUCUUUCGUCGGGGAAGAAAAUGACUGUACCCGAAUAAGAAGGUCCGGCUAACUUCGUGCCAGCAGCCGCGGUAAUACGAAGGGACCUAGCGUAGUUCGGAAUUACUGGGCUUAAAGAGUUCGUAGGUGGUUGAAAAAGUUAGUGGUGAAAUCCCAGAGCUUAACUCUGGAACUGCCAUUAAAACUUUUCAGCUAGAGUAUGAUAGAGGAAAGCAGAAUUUCUAGUGUAGAGGUGAAAUUCGUAGAUAUUAGAAAGAAUACCAAUUGCGAAGGCAGCUUUCUGGAUCAUUACUGACACUGAGGAACGAAAGCAUGGGUAGCGAAGAGGAUUAGAUACCCUCGUAGUCCAUGCCGUAAACGAUGUGUGUUAGACGUUGGAAAUUUAUUUUCAGUGUCGCAGCGAAAGCGAUAAACACACCGCCUGGGGAGUACGACCGCAAGGUUAAAACUCAAAUGAAUUGACGGGGACCCGCACAAGUAGUGGAGCAUGUGGUUUAAUUCGAAGAUACGCGCAGAACCUUACCAACACUUGACAUGUUCGUCGCGACUUUAAGAGAUUAAAGUUUUCGGUUCGGCCGGACGAAACACAGGUGCUGCAUGGCUGUCGUCAGCUCGUGUCGUGAGAUGUUGGGUUAAGUCCCGCAACGAGCGCAACCCUCACUUUUAGUUGCCAUCAUUAAGUUGGGCACUCUGAAAGAACUGCCAGUGAUAAGCUGGAGGAAGGUGGGGAUGACGUCAAGUCCUCAUGGCCCUUACGUGUUGGGCUACACACGUGCUACAAUGGUAUCUACAACAGGAAGCAAGACGGCGACGUUAAGCAAAUCCUUAAAAGAUACCUCAGUUCGGAUUGCACUCUGCAACUCGAGUGCAUGAAGCUGGAAUUACUAGUAAUCGUGGAUCAGCGUGCCACGGUGAAUGCGU
rnacentral:rRNA from 1 species